AUUGAACGCUGGCGGCAUGCCUUACACAUGCAAGUCGAACGGCAGCACGGGAGCAAUCCUGGUGGCGAGUGGCGAACGGGUGAGUAAUAUAUCGGAACGUGCCCAGUCGUGGGGGAUAACGCAGCGAAAGCUGUGCUAAUACCGCAUACGAUCUAUGGAUGAAAGCGGGGGAUCGCAAGACCUCGCGCGAUUGGAGCGGCCGAUAUCAGAUUAGGUUGUUGGUGGGGUAAAGGCUCACCAAGCCGACGAUCUGUAGCUGGUCUGAGAGGACGACCCGCCACACUGGAACUGAGACACGGUCCAGACUCCUACGGGAGGCAGCAGUGGGGAAUUUUGGACAAUGGGCGCAAGCCUGAUCCAGCAAUGCCGCGUGCAGGAUGAAGGCCUUCGGGUUGUAAACUGCUUUUGUACGGAGCGAAAAGGCUCUCUCUAAUACAGGGGGCUCAUGACGGUACCGUAAGAAUAAGCACCGGCUAACUACGUGCCAGCCGCCGCGGUAAUAC
rnacentral:rRNA from 1 species